rnacentral:snRNA from 1 species
UUGCUUCAGCAGCACAUAAACUAAAACUGGAACGAUACAGAGGUUAGCAUGGCCCUUGCACAAUAAUGACAUGUAAAUUGGUGCAGCAUUCCAUAAUUUU